rnacentral:rRNA from 1 species
CCUACGGGAGGCAGCAGUGAGGAAUAUUGGUCAAUGGACGCAAGUCUGAACCAGCCAUGCCGCGUGCAGGAAGACGGCUCUAUGAGUUGUAAACUGCUUUUGUACGAGGGUAAACGCAGAUACGCGUAUCUGUCUGAAAGUAUCGUACGAAUAAGGAUCGGCUAACUCCGUGCCAGCAGCCGCGGUAAUACGGAGGAUUCAAGCGUUAUCCGGAUUUAUUGGGUUUAAAGGGUGCGUAGGCGGGCGGAUAAGUUAGAGGUUAAAUCCCGGGGCUCAACUUCGGAAGUGCCUCUGAGACUGGUCGGCUAGAGAGUAGUUGAGGUAGGCGGAAUGUAUGGUGUAGCGGUGAAAUGCUUAGAGAUCAUACAGAACACCGAUUGCGAAGGCAGCGUACCAAGCUACUUCUGACGUUGAGGCACGAAAGCGUGGGGAGCAAACAGGAUUAGAUACCCGAGUAGUC